GAUGAAGAACGCAGCGAAAUGCGAUAAGUAAUGUGAAUUGCAGAAUUCAGUGAAUCAUCGAAUCUUUGAACGCACAUUGCGCCCGCCAGUAUUCUGGCGGGCAUGCCUGUCUGAGCGUCAUUUCAACCCUCAUGCCCCUAGGGCGUGGUGUUGGGGAUCGGCCAAAGCCCGCGAGGGACGGCCGGCCCCUUAAUCUAGUGGCGGACCCGUCGUGGCCUCCUCUGCGAAGUAGUGAUAUUCCGCAUCGGAGAGCGACGAGCCCCUGCCGUUAAACCCCCAACUUUCCAAGGUUGACCUCAGAUCAGGUAGGAAUACCCGCUGAACUUAAGCAUAUCAAUAAGCGGAGGA
rnacentral:misc_RNA from 1 species